ensembl:snoRNA SNORA70 Small nucleolar RNA SNORA70
CUACAGCCAGUGAAUCUGGCCAUGCGCUUUUCCUUGCAGCGGCCUCGUGUGUAAUUGCUGUGAACAGCACCCUCCUUGUUAGUGCAUGCAGCCUGCUGCAGAUACUGUUACCCUAAAGGACCUUAGAGAUAGCC